AAUGAAGCUAAUUAGUCAACUUUGUUUCACAAUCAAGCAAUGAACAAUUACGCUCACAAUCGCUCUCAGCAUGGAGGACGUCAUGAACACCAAAGCAGCAAGCACGGGCCACACAUACAGAAGAGAAGGGGUAUUCACGUGACACCAGGUGGCUCAGGUUGCACCGUGGGAGACCUUCCCGUCCUACUCCACAGCCUGCCCCCAACCCAACAAAGACACACACCACUAGAACUUACCAGAUGGUACGAAAUGGAGGACCUUUCUGCUAUCCAUGUUGUCUAGGAGUUCAGCACGUGGGUUUUGAAAGAGGAAGUGGUUAGGUGACGCAAUGGGGCGGAGAAGUUGAACUGACUCAUGUCAAAACGUCACAUCAUUAGGAACUCCAGCACAGUGCCAUCUGGUGGCGGUACUACAGUUAGGCCGUCUAAGUUGCACGGAUUUGGCAAUAUGUUAUUAUUGUGGUUAUACUUUGUCAUAAACACGCCAAACUUUUUUUUUUUUUUUUUUUG